rnacentral:tRNA from 1 species
GCCGAGAUGGCGGAACUGGUAGACGCACCAGACUCAAAAUCUGGCGAGAGAAAUCUCGUGUCGGUUCGACUCCGACCCUCGGCACCA